GUGUCAGCCGCCGCGGUAAUACAGAGGGUGCGAGCGUUGUCCGGAAUCACUGGGCGUAAAGGGCGCGUAGGCGGCUUGAUAAGUAGGGGGUGAAAUCUCAUGGCUCAACUGUGAGGCUGCCUUCUAGACUGUCUGGCUUGAGCACAGUAGAGGCGAGUGGAAUUCCCGGUGUAGCGGUGGAAUGCGUAGAGAUCGGGAAGAACAUCGGUGGCGAAGGCGGCUCGCUGGGCUGUUGCUGACGCUGAUGCGCGAAAGCGUGGGGAGCAAACAGGAUUAGAUACCCUGGUAGUCC
rnacentral:rRNA from 1 species